GCCAGACCACAGGUCCGCACCGACCCAAAUCGGAUAAGGAAGAGGCGACGGGACGGCUUCCGUCCCCAUCGAACAACUGCCCCCAAUUCCGCAUUCCGAUCCAAACGGCGGCCUCGGCCGCCUCCCGGCCAUCCGCCGUCGUCGCCUCAACGGCGAGGGAGAGAGGGCCCUGGCUCGUCGUCCUCCUCCUCUGAAGGAGAAUUUACUCCCGCCGCCUGUCGCUUGUCUCGCUGAUGCGCCAUCGCGAGCUGACGCCGACGCCCUGCGCCGUCGGGCCGUUCGACAUCCGUUGGCUGCUGCCGAAGCCGCGCCUCACCGACGCCAUGCGCCGUCGCGACGUUCGACAUCCGUUGGUUGCUGCCGAAGCCGUGCCUCACCGGCCCCAAGCGGUCGUGGCCCAGGGCCACCGCGCGGGCAAGGCGCCGCUGCGCACACCAUGUACGUGGUGCCGCCAACGCGACUGAUGCGGGUGAGUGGUUUUCGCCUGUUACCUCUCGGCUGCAUGUGCGUGCUGUGGCUGACGAAUUCCUUCUUCUUGCUUGGAGUAUCGAUCAUAUCUCCUGCGCCUAGGCUACAUGCCGAUUAGUUAUUACUCCCUCCGUCCGAAAAUACUUGUCGAAGAAAUGGAUAUAAAUGGAUGUAUUUAGAACUAAAAUAUAUCUAGAUACAUCCAUUUUUAGGACAAGUAUUUUCGGACGGAGGGAGUAGAUCGUUGAUUUAAUCACAAGAGACAGCUCCUGAUUCAUAUUUUGUAGGGAUGCAUGAUCUUCUUUGCCAUGGAUGGCCUGGUGCAUCGCUGCGUUCAGUGCCCAGAGCAACGUCUAGAGGCAUUUCCUCUCUUCUGUGAUCUUGGGCGUGGCCUCAUGACCGUCGUCAACGCCGACGCCGAAGUUCACCGCUGAAGUCUGCGUCCCUGCGUCGCUUGGUCGCCAUUGUUUGAGCGUGAAGAUCGUACAUAACCGAUGCCUCCUAUUCUUCCAGCAAUUUUCUCUCCCAUGGAGUUCGCCGGACAUGAGACUGCCAGAGUUGCUGCCCCGAUUCUCGCCGGGGACGGCGAAGUUCAUCUGGCCUAUUCGCUCUCUGCGGAGAGACGUGCGUGAUAACGUGUUAAUAGACAGAUUACGAAAUGAAUCCAAUCAGUAUCAAUUUCA
rnacentral:lncRNA from 1 species